UACGGAGGGUGCAAGCGUUGUCCGGAAUUAUUGGGCGUAAAGGGCUCGUAGGCGGUCCGUCACGUCGGGAGUGAAAAGCUGGGGCUUAACCCCAGUCCUGCUUCCGAUACGGGUGUACUAGAGGUAGGCAGGGGAGAACGGAAUUCCUGGUGUAGCGGUGAAAUGCGCAGAUAUCAGGAGGAACACCGGUGGCGAAGGCGGUUCUCUGGGCCUUACCUGACGCUGAGGAGCGAAAGUCAGGGGAGCAAACGGG
rnacentral:rRNA from 1 species